UGGGGAAUAUUGCGCAAUGGGCGAAAGCCUGACGCAGCCACGCCGCGUGGGUGAUGACGGCCUUCGGGUUGUAAAGCCCUGUCGAGGGGGAAGAAAAAAAUGACGGUACCCCUCAAGAAAGCACCGGCUAACCCUGUGCCAGCAGCCGCGGUAAUACAGGGGGUGCAAGCGUUGCUCGGAAUCACUGGGCGUAAAGCGAACGCAGGCGGACCUGCAAGUCAGGGGUGAAAGCCCGAGGCUCAACCUCGGAACUGCCUUUGAAACUGCCGGUCUUGAGUACGGGAGAGGUGAGUGGAAUUCCUGGUGUAGAGGUGAAAUUCGUAGAUAUCAGGAGGAACACCGGUGGCGAAAGCGGCUCACUGGCCCGAUACUGACGCUCAUGUUCGAAAGCGUGGGGAGCAAACAGGAUUAGAUACCCCCGUAGUCC
rnacentral:rRNA from 1 species